AAAGUGGGCCGGGUAUCGAUCCGGUACUCUCGCAUGCUAAGCGAGCGCUCUACCAUCUGAGCUACGCCCCU
rnacentral:tRNA from 13 species